UUCUUUUUUUCUUCUCCAGCCGGUCCCACAGCUCCCUCCGUGUCUCUGCUCCCUCCGUCUCCUCUGCAGCUGUCUGAAGGAUCGGCCUCGCUGCUCUGCCUGCUGUCUGGCUACUCUCCACAGGGGGCGCUGGUGAGCUGGACAGUGGACGGCUCCCAGGUGAACACCGGGGUUCUGACCAGUGCGGAAGAAGAGAAGAGUGGCCGUUACAGCCGCAGCAGCACCCUGACCCUCAGCAAAGACCUCUGGGAAAAGGGGGAGGAGUUCAGCUGUAAGGUCUCCCAUAACAACGCCAAUCAUCCAGUCACGUUCAGAAAGAGUCAGUGUGAAGGCUAGUGGAUCCAAGCUAGAGUUUAACAUAGAGCUGCUUAUCAUCCAUCCUAAAUAGAGUUUCAAUUCUACACAAUGCUGACAUUUCUGUCUUUACUCUCUUCACUGUCCUGUUGCUCUUCCUGUAGUUUUUGCUGAAAUAAAGCUGAGUUUUGGACGUUGUCUGUUCUUUUAUUCCAGUUAAUAGUGAUGAUCAGUGUGAUGAGAGAGUGGGAUUAGCUGUAGAUUCAGUGCUGUGUGUUGUGCUUCAGUGAGUUUGACUGAAGGAAGUUGAACAUCUGGUGAAAUUUCUGCUCUAUUCUGGGAGAAAUGAAACUCUUCAGUCCUGUUAAUGUAAAUCUCACUUCCUCCUCACUGCUCUCUCUUUAAGUGAGGA